AGAUAGGAAAUACGAAGAAGAAGAGAAGAUAAAGAAGACUAUAGAAAGAAGAAUUUGGGAAAAGAGUAUUGGCAAUUCAAUAACUGUUUGUCCCAAUUUCGGUUAGGCUAUUUAUAGAUUUUGCUGACUUAGCCGAGUUGGUGAUGAACUGGACUAUUUGAUGUAUUAAUCUCCACUGUUGAUUCCUUACGAUCUCUACCGUUUAUUUAAACUAAUUCCCAAUUUUUCCUUUUCAUGAUUAUUCAAUUGCCACAUGCGGACAUAACAACUUUGAUUCAUUACACAAUUAGUAGUUCUGUAAUAAUUCUUGUUGAGUUAAGAAAUAGAAAUAUCUUCUCAUUGAGUGCUUAUGACCAUACAAUUUCUUCUCCCAUUAUUUAAAAUUAACAUGGUAUUAGAGUAAUUAGGGAAGAUCUAGGAUUUUUUCUCAAAGAUUUUCAAAGAUAAAUUGAGAGAUUUUGCUGGAUUUGUGUUCGUAUAGUGAUCAAGGACAAAUCGUUGGAUGGAUCGAAUAACAGAGCAUGUAAAGAAUCUUAGAAUAGUGGCUCAUUAACGAUAAAUCAUAAUCAUCUUCUCUAUCUGAGCUCAUCAUAUGUACCAGGAUCAUUAUCUGUUAGAAUUCAACUAACACGAAGGGAGAAUUACACGCAAUAGAGCUGAGCUAUGGAGAUAGAGCUGCUUGGAAGAAAUAAAUUGGGAUUUUUGGAUGGCUCUGUUCUAAGGAAUGAUUAUGAAGGAGAUUUGGAUUAAAUUUUAUAUCACUGCGAUGUGAUUGUUACCUCUUGGCUCACAUGCAAUGACCUCUUCUCUGGGAAGUUCAAGGCAAUUGGUGAUAUAGAGGAAGGCUUAUAUGUACUGAAUUGUCAAGCAAAACAAGAAGAAUGAAUAUGAACAAUGUCUACUAUUAGGGAAAAUGGUGAUCCAACACUUUGGUACAUAAGAUUAGUCCAUGUCCCUAUUGGAGUUCUUCGAACAAUAAAAGAUUUCAAAAAAUAUAGUAGUUUUACUGUAGAUCAGUGCACUUGUCCUUAAGAUAGACAAACCAGAGUUCUAUUUUCCAUCAGUGCUACUAAGACAGAUGGUGUGUUUGAUUUAGUUCAUAUGGAUGUUUGAGGCCUUCACAAGGUAGCUACUCAUAAUUACAUGGGAUAUUUUCUUACCUUAGUUGAUGAAAAAUCUAGAUAGACAUAAAAGUUUUUGAUUGCCUUGGAGUUUGAUGUAAUUGUUGUUCUCAAACAAUUUCUGUUAAUGAUAAAGAAUCAGUUUGGGAAAUAUGUUAAAGUGUUCAGGUCUGAUAAUGGAGGAGAAUUUUUUAUGCU